rnacentral:rRNA from 1 species
AAUGGGCGCAAGCCUGAUCCAGCGAUGCCGCGUGGAUGAUGAAGGCCCUAGGGUUGUAAAGUCCUUUCGAUGGAGAAGAUAAUGACGGUAACCAUUAAAGAAGCCCCGGCUAAUUUCGUGCCAGCAGCCGCGGUAAUACGAAAGGGGCAAGCGUUGUUCGGAAUUACUGGGCGUAAAGCGCGCGUAGGCGGCAUGCCAAGUUGGGGGUGAAAUCCCGGAGCUCAACUCCGGAACUGCCUCCAAAACUGGCAAGCUAGAGGAUGUGAGAGGAUAGUGGAAUUCCGAGUGUAGAGGUGAAAUUCGUAGAUAUUCGGAAGAACACCAGUGGCGAAGGCGACUGUCUGGCACAUUUCUGACGCUGAGGUGCGAAAGCGUGGGGAGCGAACAGGAUU